rnacentral:rRNA from 1 species
CCUACGGGAUGCUGCAGUCGAGAAUCAUUCACCAUGGGGGAAACCCUGAUGGUGCGACGCCGCGUGGGGGAAUGAAGGUCUUCGGAUUGUAAACCCCUGUCAUGUGGGAGCAAAUUAAAAAGAUAGUACCACAAGAGGACGAGCCGGCUAACUCUGUGCCAGCAGCCGCGGUAAUACAGAGGUAUCAAGCGUUGUUCGGAAUCACUGGGCGUAAAGCGUGCGUAGGCUGUUUCGUAAGUCGUGUGUGAAAGGGGCGGGCUCAACCCGAGGACGGCACAUGAUACUGGGAGACUAGAGUAAUGGAGGGGGAACCGGAAUUCGUGGGGUAGCAGUGAAAUGCGUAGAUAUCGAGAGGAACACUCGUGGCGAAGGCGGGGUCCUGGACAUUAACGGACGCUGAGGCACGAAGGCCAGGGGAGCGAAAGGGAUUAGAUACCCUAGUAGUC